UACGUAGGGUCCGAGCGUUGUCCGGAAUUAUUGGGCGUAAAGGGCUCGUAGGCGGUCUGUUGCGUCGGGAGUGAAAACUUACAGCUUAACUGUGAGCGUGCUUUCGAUACGGGCAGACUUGAGGCAUUCAGGGGAGAACGGAAUUCCUGGUGUAGCGGUGAAAUGCGCAGAUAUCAGGAAGAACACCAAUGGCGAAGGCAGCUCUCUGGGACGGUACUGACGCUGAGACGCGAAAGCGUGGGGAGCGAACAGG
rnacentral:rRNA from 1 species